UUGUUUUCAAAGAUUAAGCCAUGCAUGUCUAAGUACAACCCGCUUGACGGGGAAACCGCGAAUGGCUCAAUAAAUCAGUUAUGGUUCCUUAGAUCCACCCAUCCUACUUGGAUAACUGUGGCAAUUCUAGAGCUAAUACAUGCACUCAAGCCCUGACUCGGGCCGCUGCGGGGGCAACUCUGCGACGGUUUUGUAGAAAGGGUGCUUUUAUUAGAUCAAAACCAGUCGGCGGUCUUGCGGACGUCAAACUCCGUUAAAACCGCCGUUCCGUUUGGUGACUCUGGAUAACUUCUCGCGGAUCGCACGGUCUCGUACCGGCGACGCGUCUUUCAAAUGUCUGCCUUAUCAACUGUCGAUGGUAGGUUAUGCGCCUACCAUGGUUGCAACGGGUAACGGGGAAUCGGGGUUCGAUUCCGGAGAGGGAGCCUGAGAAACGGCUACCACAUCCAAGGAAGGCAGCAGGCGCGCAAAUUACCCACUCCCGGCACGGGGAGGUAGUGACGAAAAAUAACGAUACGGGACUCUUCCGAGGCCCCGUGAUUGGAAUGAGUACACUUUAAAUCCUUUAACGAGGACCCAUUGGAGGGCAAGUCUGGUGCCAGCAGCCGCGGUAACUCCAGCUCCAAUAGCGUAUAUUAAAGUUGUUGCGGUUAAAAAGCUCGUAGUCGGAUGUCUGUCUUCGGCCGGGCGUCGACUCGCUCUGAAUUAAGGGUGGUCGAUAUCGCUCUGCGGUGGGUGCCGGUGUCAUAGCCGUCCCACUGCUUAACGGUCGGACAACACCGCCGGAGUGUCGACGCUACUCGCUUGUUUUGGGUCUUUUCGGUGUUUAACAAAAAUCUCUCCCCCUUGGGGGGGAAUCUUUGUCAUCGACUUGACCCGCUUGAGAUGAGGGCCCGACCGUAAUCGUGCGGGGUGCCUUUAACCGGGUGUCCCGCACGGCCGGCACUGUUUACUUUGAACAAAACUGAGUGCUCAAAGCAGGUGAUUUAUCGCCCGAAAGAUGCAGCAUGGAAUGAUAAAAGAGGACCUCGGUCUUAUUUUGCUGGUCUUUUUUCUUUAGACCCGAGGUAAUGAUCAAUAGAGACAGACGGGGGCAUCCGUACUGCUGCGACAGAGGUGAAAUUCUUGGACCGCAGCAAGACGAACAACAGCGAAGGCAUUUGCCAAGAAUGUUUUCCUUGAUCAAGAACGAAAGUUAGAGGCUCGAAGGCGAUCAGAUACCGCCCUAGUUCUAACCAUAAACGAUGCCAACCAGCAAUCCGCCGGUGUUACUCCCAUGACUCGGCGGGCGGCUUCCGGGAAACCAAAGUCUUUGGGUUCCGGGGGAAGUAUGGUUGCAAAGCUGAAACUUAAAGGAAUUGACGGAAGGGCACCACCAGGAGUGGAGCCUGCGGCUUAAUUUGACUCAACACGGGAAACCUCACCAGGCCCGGACACUGGAAGGAUUGACAGAUUGAGAGCUCUUUCUUGAUUCGGUGGGUGGUGGUGCAUGGCCGUUCUUAGUUGGUGGAGCGAUUUGUCUGGUUAAUUCCGAUAACGAACGAGACUCUAGCCUGCUAAAUAGGUGACUGGUUUUUUGAAUUGAAAAAAUCGAGGGGGUUUCUCUGGGCGGGAACCGGGCCUUUCUGUCGGCUGUCGGUUGUACUUUUCUUUUCUUUUUACCCCUUCGGUCAGAUGGUCGGUGAGUGUUUUGAUUCGCGUCACUACAUCUCUCUCGGUCGGACGGACGUGGGGGUUUUUAAAAAAAAGAUUGUCACCGGUAGUUUGGUGGAUCGGUCCCCCGCUUUAAGGGGAGCCCUCGCGUCAGUCACACAUCUUCUUAGAGGGACAAGCGGCGUCCAGCCGCGUGACAGUGAGCAAUAACAGGUCUGUGAUGCCCUUAGAUGUCCUGGGCCGCACGCGCGCUACACUGAAGGAAUCAGCGUGUAUCACUCUCCCUGUCCGAAAGGACCGGGUAACCGCUGAACCUCCUUCGUGGUUGGGAUUGGGGACUGCAAUGAUCCCCAUGAACCAGGAAUCCCUAGUAGGCGCGGGUCACUAGCCCGCGUCGAUUACGUCCCUGCCCUUUGUACACACCGCCCGUCGCUACUACCGAUUGAAUGAUUUAGUGAGGCCUUCGGACGGGCCCGUCGGGGUUAACUGCAUUCGGGGGGCAACCCCCGAGUGUUUGAUUUCCUAUUCACGGCGGGACUGAAAGAUGUCCGAACUUGAUCCUUAGAGGAAGUAAAAGUCGUAACAAGGUUUCCGUAGGUGAACCUGCAGU
rnacentral:rRNA from 1 species